rnacentral:rRNA from 1 species
GAUGAACGCUGGCGGCGUGCCUAAUACAUGCAAGUCGAGCGAACAGACGAGGAGCUUGCUCCUCUGACGUUAGCGGCGGACGGGUGAGUAACACGUGGAUAACCUACCUAUAAGACUGGGAUAACUUCGGGAAACCGGAGCUAAUACCGGAUAAUAUAUUGAACCGCAUGGUUCAAUAGUUAAAGACGGUUUUGCUGUCACUUAUAGCUGGAUCCGCGCCGCAUUAGCUAGUUGGUAAGGUAACGGCUUACCAAGGCAACGAUGCGUAGCCGACCUGAGAGGGUGAUCGGCCACACUGGAACUGAGACACGGUCCAGACUCCUACGGGAGGCAGCAGUAGGGAAUCUUACGCAAUGGGCGAAAGCCUGACGGAGCAACGCCGCGUGAGUGAUGAAGGUCUUCGGAUCGUAAAACUCUGUUAUUAGGGAAGAACAAAUGUGUAAGUAACUAUGCACGUCUUGACGGUACCUAAUCAGAAAGCCACGGCUAACUACGUG